rnacentral:lncRNA from 1 species
UCAAAAAAAAAUUUGGUCCUAAAUAUAAGAAAAUAUCACAAUUUUUAAGGUGUAGUUAUUGCUUAAAAGACUUUUUUACCCCUUAUUUAAUGUUUGUCUUUUUAAUAUUAGUGGGUGUAUUUAAUGCUUCACAAUUUUUUAUGAGGGUAUAUUUGUAAAAACAUUCAAAAAGUUACACUAAUUAAUAAGUGUAUUGGUUUCGAUGUUUUUUAGUUUUUCUUCUUAUAAUAAGGACCG